GUCCACCUGAUGAGGAGACUAGCACGAUUCUUGAGCAGAGUUGUCCAUGGGCUCCUCACCUGAUGACUUGGCGAAUCUCGCAAACGUCUGUUGCACCGAAUCACCCCUUGCAUCCAGCUAGAAAACAGAAAUUCUUCAUCUCCAAAUUUGAAAACAAAAAUUCGCCAGAAAAGGUUUCUUCAAGCAAUCACAUGAUUAUGAUUGCAUGAUAUACAGACUCCUUGUACAAUUACAUGGGAUGGGAGACCCUUUCUUGCAAAUAAACAAGACAAAUCUUUCGUCUGAUCAGUGUGAUUGGAUUGAAGAACAAGAUUCGCUCAAGAGGAGAGUAGUUGUGGAAGAUGAUUUUACAUGGUCUAUAUCCUUGGAAGAAUCAGUCAAAGGAGAGAAACUACGAUAUGUUGGAGGGGUUGAUUUGAGCUUCUCAAAGGACGACCCUUGUAUGGCGUGUGGUGCACUUGUAAUUUUGGACCUGGAUAGCCUCGAUGUUGUCCAUGAUGAUUUCAGUGUUGUCCAACUUCAAGUUCCAUAUAUACCUGGCUUCCUUGCCUUCAGAGAGGCUCCAGUUCUUUUAGGCCUGUUGGAAAAGAUGAAGCGAGAUUCUCAUCCUUUCUAUCCCCAGCUAUUGAUGGUUGAUGGGAAUGGAUUACUGCAUCCUCGAGGUUGUGGUUUAGCUUGUCAUCUUGGUGUUAUGGCCAAUCUUCCAACCAUUGGGAUAGGCAAGAAUCUGCAUCAUGUGGAUGGUCUUACUCAAUCUGGAGUGAAACAACUUCUGGAAGCAAAAGAAAAUUGUGCCAAGGAUCUGAUCACUUUGAUUGGGAACUCUGGGCGCAUAUGGGGAGCGGCAAUGCGAUCUACUCAAGGUUCUUCAAAACCAAUAUUCAUAUCGAUUGGACAUCGUAUAUCUCUCAAUGCAGCUGUCAAGAUUGUUAAAAUGUGCUGUAAAUACCGUGUACCAGAGCCAAUCCGGCAAGUAAGGUUUAUUGCUUUCUUUUGUGCUCACAUAACACACAAGUCUGUCCUAUUUCAGUUUGAACUUUUUCAAAUUCUAGUUUAGUGAUUGAGGGCCUUUUGGAAGUACCUGCAAAUUGGGAUUGGUUCUGCUUAGAGAACCAAUCCACUGUAUAUUUGCAGCCGCUCAAAUAAUGCAAACAGCAGGUGGGUCUUCUUUUUCCCUUCCACCCAAAAUGGGUGUUUAUACUUGUCAGUGCUCUCAUCAAUGAGAAAUUGAUUGGAGGCUUAUUUUUGGAACGAUCUGCUUAUUUUAAUCGCCCCAUUUAAUGUGGAAUUUGAGGAUUUGAUUUUCCAGGAGGCAAAUGAAAUAGCCGAAACUCUUCCUAAAGGCGGAGUGACUGGAGAGCAUCAGUCAUUGCCUGCUCUUAGUAUUCUAUUUUCAAUCUUUUCUUCUCGACAAAUUCAUUUGACCUUACUGUUCCUAAUGUGUGUUGUGUAUAGAAUGGCCUCCUUGAUUUCUUCUUGACACAAUGUACUUCUAUGAUUUAAAACUUGGCUGCCAUGGCAUUGGCCAUAAAUGAUAAUGCUUACCUAAUUUGCUUGUAUUUUUUGUCACUCAUAAACAUUAAAAUCAGAUGCAUUAAGUUCAUUUUAUUGAUAGCAAAUGACGAGAAGUAUAUGAAUUUUCUUCCUGUGGCCUUCCUUGGCCUUCUUUUUUACAUUUUGAAAAUGCAGGCUGAUAUAAGGUCGAAAAGAUACCUCCAAAACCAUUCCGAGAUCAUUAAAACAAUGCGUGUGCAGUAACUGGUACUCUUCUGGUUAUCUUCAUUAUGGCUUACAUUACUAAACAUGAAAUGCAAAUUUAUUGACCGGAACCCAAGACUUCCGCCUCCACUACAAUGGUUGCCCACCAUCAUCAAUGUCGGGUCUUCUAUUUUAUUUGAUCAAAUAUGGAAGCUGUUCUAUCUUGGCAUUUGCUUUUUGUAUUCUGAUAAUGUGUGUUUAUACUUUAUACUUCUUGCCAAGACGAGAGCUCUGACAGACUUGACUUAUGUUAAACAUUGGAAUAUUAGAAGUUAAAAGUUGUAUUACUUUUACUGUAAA